rnacentral:rRNA from 1 species
GUGCCAGCAGCCGCGGUAAUACGGAGGAUGCAAGCGUUAUCCGGAUUCAUUGGGUUUAAAGGGUGCGCAGGUGGGAAAAUAAGUCAGUGGUGAAAUACUGCCGCUUAACGGUAGAAUUGCCAUUGAUACUGUUUUUCUUGAGUACGGUUGAGGUAGGUGGAAUGUGUUGUGUAGCGGUGAAAUGCAUAGAUAUGACACAGAACGCCGAUUGCGAAGGCAGCUUACUAAGCCAUUACUGACGCUGAGGCACGAAAGCGUGGGGAUCGAACAGGAUUAGAUACCCUGGUAGUCCACGCCGUAAACGAUGAUCACUCGCUGUUUGCGAUAUACAGCAAGCGGCUGAGCGAAAGCAUUAAGUGAUCCACCUGGGGAGUACGAUCGCAAGGUUGAAACUCAAAUGAAUUGACGGG